GCCAACGGCCAUACCACGUUGAACACACCAGUUCUCGUCCGAUCACUGAAGUUAAGCAACGUCGGCCCGGUUAGUACUUGGACCGCCUGGGAACCCCGGGUGCUGUUGGUA
rnacentral:rRNA from 1 species